rnacentral:rRNA from 1 species
GUCUCACAGUUUGAUCCUGGCUCAGAACGAACGCUGGCGGCGCGCCUAAUACAUGCAAGUCGAGCGAGAAGGUGUAGCAAUACACUUGUAAAGCGGCGAACGGGUGAGGAACACAUGGGUAACCUACCAUCGAGUGGGGAAUACCAGCCGAAAGGUUGGCUAAUACCGCGUACGCCUGCGGGUCUUCGGAUUCGCAGGGAAAGCCACACUGAGAGUGUGGCGCUCAUUGAUGGGCUCAUGUCCUAUCAGCUUGUUGGUAGGGUAACGGCCUACCAAGGCUUUGACGGGUAGCUGGUCUGAGAGGACGAUCAGCCACACUGGCACUGCGACACGGGCCAGACUCC